rnacentral:rRNA from 1 species
UACAUGGGGUGCAAGCGUUGUUCGGAAUUAUUGGGCGUAAAGCGCGCGUAGGCGGUUACUUAAGUCGGACGUGAAAGCCCUCGGCUUAACUGAGGAAGUGCACCCGAAACUGAGUAGCUAGAGUACGAAAGAGGGUCGCGGAAUUCCCGGUGUAGAGGUGAAAUUCGUAGAUAUCGGGAGGAACACCGGUGGCGAAGGCGGCGACCUGGGUCGAGACUGACGCUGAGGCGCGAAAGCGUGGGUAGCAAACAGG